GAUGAAGAACGUAGCGAACGUGCGAAACGUAAUGUGAAUUGCAGAAUUCAGUGAAUCAUCGAAUCUUUGAACGCAUCUUGCGCUCCUUGGUAUUCCGAGGAGCAUGCCUGUUUGAGUGUCGUGAAUACUCUCAACUUCAACCCUUUUUUCGGAAAGGGAGGAAGGUUGGACUUGGGUGUUUGUUGAAGUGCGAGCUUCGACUCAUCCUAAAUGCAUUAGCGAUCUGCCUCGAUCACACACAAUGUGAUAAUUAAAACUAAAGCAUUGUUUAAUGAUCAAGUCGAGACUGCUUCUAACUGUCGCAAGACAAUAACGUGCAUACAUUUGUGCAUGUCAUUUGACCUCAAAUCAGGUAGGACUACCCGCUGAACUUAAGCAUAUCAAUAGCGGAGGA
rnacentral:misc_RNA from 1 species